UUAAAGAAAGCGUAAUAGCUCACUGGUCGAGUCGGCCUGCGCGGAAGAUGUAACGGGGCUAAGUAGUAAACCGAAGCUGCGGCAAUAUACUUUUGUAUAUUGGGUAGGGGAGCGUUCUGUAAGCGGUUGAAGGUGUGUGGUAACGCAUGCUGGACGUAUCAGAAGUGCGAAUGCUGACAUGAGUAACGAUAAAGGGGGUGAAAAACCUCCUCGCCGGAAGACCAAGGGUUCCUGUCCAACGUUAAUCGGGGCAGGGUAAGUCGACCCCUAAGGCGAGGCCGAAAGGCGUAGUCGAUGGGAAACGGGUUAAUAUUCCCGUACUUCUUACAAUUGCGAUGGGGGG
rnacentral:rRNA from 1 species